rnacentral:rRNA from 1 species
UACGGAGGGGGCUAGCGUUGUUCGGAAUUACUGGGCGUAAAGCGCGCGUAGGCGGCUUUGUAAGUCAGAGGUGAAAGCCUGGAGCUCAACUCCAGAACUGCCUUUGAAUCUACAUCGCUAGAAUUGUGGAGAGGUAAGUGGAAUUCCGAGUGUAGAGGUGAAAUUCGUAGAUAUGCGGAAGAACACCGGUGGCGAAGGCGGCUCACUGGCCCGUAACUGACGCUCAGGCGCGAUAGCGUGGGGAUCAAACAGG